CGCAGCCGCGGUAAUUCCAGCUCCAAUAGCGUAUAUUAAAGUUGUUGCAGUUAAAAAGCUCGUAGUUGAAUUUCGGAAUCUGUCCAUCGGUCGGGCUUCACUGUCCGUACUGGUGUGGUGGGUUCUUACCUUCUGAAUAACCAGCAUGUCAUUCACUUGGUGCGCUGGGGAAGCAGGACUAUUACCUUGAAAAAUUAGAGUGCUCAAAGCAGGCUAGUGCCUGAAUACAUUAGCAUGGAAUAAUAAAAUAGGACGGCAUGGUUCUAUUUUGUUGGUUUCUAGGAUCACCGUAAUGAUUAAUAGGGAUAGUUGGGGGCAUUAGUAUUCAAUUGUCAGAGGUGAAAUUCUUGGAUUUAUUGAAGACUAACUUCUGCGAAAGCAUUUGCCAAGGAUGUUUUCAUUAAUCAAGAACGAAAGUUAGGGGAUCGAAGACGAUCAGAUACCGUCGUAGUCUUAACCAUAAACUAUGCCGACUAGGGAUCGGACGAUGUUAAUUUUUAAUGACUCGUUCGGUACCG
rnacentral:rRNA from 1 species